rnacentral:piRNA from 1 species
UUAUUAUGGGAUUUGGUUUUU